UACGUAGGGUGCGAGCGUUGCCCGGAUUUAUUGGGCGUAAAGGGCGCGUAGGCGGCCACCGCAAGUCGGUUGUGAAAUCUCCGGGCUUAACCCGGAAAGGUCAACCGAUACUGCGGGGCUAGAGUGCAGAAGGGGCAACUGGAAUUCUCGGUGUAGCGGUGAAAUGCGUAGAUAUCGAGAGGAACACCUGCGGCGAAGGCGGGUUGCUGGGCUGACACUGACGCUGAUGCGCGAAAGCUAGGGGAGCGAACGGG
rnacentral:rRNA from 1 species